CGGGCUGCGGGGCCCGGGCGGAGGUCGUGGUGGCGGCGUCGUGCAGCGAGCUGGACCCAGGGCCGCAGCAGAUCGGAGGCCGAGGAGGAGCAGGGGUUCCCGGCCCCGCCGCCCGCCGUACAGCCCAAGGCACCCAGACCCAGCAUCCCACAUUUCACCCAUGAAGUGGAUCUACUCGCCUAUCGGGCCUCCAGGGUCUUGUGGAGUGACUCUCGCACCCAUUGCUCCAGGACAGACAGUGCUGGAAAUCAGGCUGAGGCUGUCAGCGUGGCAGUACGAAGGACACUGGAUUCUCAGCCACAUAGACCCUCCUACGCCCACGCCAGGACUGAGGUCAGCAGGCCGGGGUGUGGCGGUCAUCCUGUGAUCAGGCAGGAACACCAAGAGAACUGCUAGAAUGUGGACCAACCUGAUGUCCUGAGUCACAGAGCUCCUGCCUAACACUGGACUUCAUAUAAUGUCAGAUGACUGAAUACCUUAAUGCUCUGAGCCACAGUGGGCUGGCUGGUAUUCCGCUACCUGUGCUAAAAAGCAUCCUACGAGAGGUACACCGUGCUGGAAUAGGAAAAGUGUUUCUUGUAUCUUAUUAACACACUUCAAGAUGCUCAUGUGCUUCAGCAAUCCCUGCAGUCAAAAGGGUCCUCCACUCCCCAGUAAACAAGGCCCAGCCAGCCAGAUUCCCUCCAUCCUCACCUUCCUCCCGUCCCAGGGGAGCCAGGAAAGCCAUGCAUGCACCAACACGGAUGCCCUGUGUUCCUCCUCAUCAGCCUGCUGAGUCCUCCUGGACCUGACAAGAGGCAGUACUGCAGCCUCGCCCAGCCCCGGGAACGUGGUCUUCCUUACUACAAUCCCCUUCAUCCUUUGGAGGGCAACAAGAUGGUAUUUUAUAAGGAGGUAUCAAUCAGAAAAAAGGGAUAUUACUUUGAUUAUCUAUGUAAGAGAAUAAUAAGUACCAUUCUUAGUACUUGUAAGCGUUCGCUAGGUUGUGCUGUGGUAACAAAGGAUCCCGAAGUCUCAGUGACUCGAAAUCACAAUGGCUUACUUCUUGCUGACGGCUGUACUUCACGUGCCUUUGUUACAGGAUCUGGGGUGAAAAAUCAGCUCUCACUGUG